GUCGAACGAAAAGACGGAAAGAGCUUGCUCUUUUCAGAAUUGAGUGGCCCACUUGGUGAGUAACACGUAAACAACCUGCCUUCAGGAUGGGGACAACAGACGGAAACGACUGCUAAUACCGAAUAAGUUCCAAGAGCCGCAUGGCCCAUGGAAGAAAAGGUGGCCUCUACCUGUAAGCUAUCGCCUGAAGAGGGGUUUGCGUCUGAUUAGCUGGUUGGAGGGGUAACGGCCCACCAAGGCGACGAUCAGUAGCCGGUCUGAGAGGAUGAACGGCCACACUGGAACUGAGACACGGUCCAGACUCCUACGGGAGGCAGCAGUGGGGAAUCUUCCGCAAUGGGCGAAAGCCUGACGGAGCAACGCCGCGUGAGUGAUGACGGCCUUCGGGUUGUAAAACUCUGUGAUCCGGGACGAAAAGGCAGAGUGCGAAGAACAAACUGCAUUGACGGUACCGGAAAAGCAAGCCACGGCUAACUACGUGCCAGCAGCCGCGGUAAUACGUAGGUGGCAAGCGUUGUCCGGAAUUAUUGGGCGUAAAGCGCGCGCAGGCGGCUUCCCAAGUCCCUCUUAAAAGUGCGGGGCUUAACCCCGUGAUGGGAAGGAAACUGGGAAGCUGGAGUAUCGGAGAGGAAAGUGGAAUUCCUAGUGUAGCGGUGAAAUGCGUAGAGAUUAGGAAGAACACCGGUGGCGAAGGCGACUUUCUGGACGAAAACUGACGCUGAGGCGCGAAAGCGUGGGGAGCAAACA
rnacentral:rRNA from 1 species